UACGUAGGCAGCGAGCGUUGCUCGGAGUUACUGGGCGUAAAGGGUGCGUAGGCGGUUUGUCGCGUCUGCCGUGAAAGUCCGGGGCUCAACUCCGGAUCUGCGGUGGGUACGGGCAGACUAGAGUGAUGUAGGGGAGACUGGAAUUCCUGGUGUAGCGGUGAAAUGCGCAGAUAUCAGGAGGAACACCGAUGGCGAAGGCAGGUCUCUGGGCAUUAACUGACGCUGAGGAGCGAAAGCUGGGGAGCGAACAGG
rnacentral:rRNA from 1 species